rnacentral:hammerhead_ribozyme from 1 species
GCAUUGCUGACGAAUCUCGAACAGGACGAAACAGCUGUCCAUUGC